rnacentral:rRNA from 1 species
AUGCACGCUGGCGGCGUGCCUAAUACAUGCCAGUCGAGCGAACGGACGAGAAGCUUGCUUCUCUGAUGUUAGCGGCGGACGGGUGAGUAACACGUGGAUAACCUACCUAUAAGACUGGGAUAACUUCGGGAAACCGUAGCUAAUACCGGAUAAUAUUUUGAACCGCAUGGUUCAAAAGUGAAAGACGGUCUUGCUGUCACUUAUAGAUGGAUCCGCGCUGCAUUAGCUAGUUGGUAAGGUAACGGCUUACCAAGGCAACGAUGCAUAGCCGACCUGGGAGGGUGAUCGGCCACACUGGAACUGAGACACGGUCCAGACUCCUACGGGAGGCAGCAGUAGGGAAUCUUCCGCAAUGGGCGAAAGCCUGACGGAGCAACGCCGCGUGAGUGAUGAAGGUCUUCGGAUCGUAAAACUCUGUUAUUAGGGAAGAACAUAUGUGUAAGUAACUGUGCACAUCUUGACGGUACCUAAUCAGAAAGCCACGGCUAACUACGUG